GGGGGUAGCUCGAGACGAGCACCUUGAUGGCGGUGGUCGGGAUCGGGGAAUCGGAGUGGCUCCCGUUCAGAGAUUCCUGGUUGGCGAAGUCGUCGUAAGAGCAGAGGAUGUCGUCGGAGGCGAAAUCGAAGUUCUUGGACCCGGAAUUCGCCCGACCCGACGACCCGGUUGCCAUUUUCCCCUCUCUCGAUUCGAUUGCAGGAACGGGGGCAAAUCAGAGGACGAGAAUCAGCUGAUGGAGAGAGAGAAAGAGGGGUUGAUAAAGGGGGUGCGAGACGAGGCGUGUGGAGAGAGAACGGACGGACGGAGGUUGGGGGGGAAGGUUCGCGGUGCAGCAGCUGCUCUUUGCUUGGCGAAGAGACAAGCUGAAGAUAUAGAAGGAAACCGGCUUCCGCGCGUGGAGAAACGUGUUCAACGUGUGGGGGGAAAUCGAAGCCCAGAUAUUUUCUUUUUGGCCCCGUCGUUCGACGUACGAAGGUUUCGAGGAUAAUAGGUGGUCGGUGCCUGUCUGACGAUCCCUGACGCACGAGGAUAUGGCAGCGGACAGUAUCGGCAUCCCCCCGAUGGUUAUCCUCUUCGCGGUCAACAUCGUCCUCCCCUUUUCGCUUUCACAUUUCUUGACUUUUCCGAAUUACGCCCCCCGUUUCUCUGAAACCUCCCACCAACUCGACUGUCGGAAUUGCGGCCGAAUUUGCUCAUUCGCCGCCGUCGGAUCGCCUCCGUCGGCUUCGUGAUCUCCCGUCGUUACGUCGCUGCUCUUGAUGAGAUAGAUGAUGUCCCACGAUUUGUAGAUAAUGAUGUUGACAGUAUUGGCCUCGCCAACAAGGAGCACCAAAAAACAAGCCGCUGUCGUAUGUCAAGUCGUCCGAGUCACGUCUAGCCAUUAGCCGCGCAAGCACGAAACCGCGUCCUUGCGAAUCCCGAGGGAAGAUGCCAAUCAAAUGGGUAGCCGUGAUCUGGGCCGAGCACCAGCAACCCAAUGCUUGUGAAUUGUAUUGCGGGCCUAGUCCGUGCAAUUUCAAAUGCGAUUUAAGCUCAGCCUCGCCAUAACAAUUUUGAAAGGGGAGAGAGAGAGAGAGAG
rnacentral:lncRNA from 1 species